CAAACUACUCUAGGCACAUGCUCAAUAUGUGGUAUUGAUGAUGAGUGUAUUUUUCAUGCAUUGGUGGUUUGUCCCAAGGCUCGUGCAUUCCGCAUGGCUCUGAAGGAAGUGUGGAAAUUACCAGCGGAGGAGACCUUCAAAUAUUCUGGACCGGAGUGGUUCCUUAUUCUAUUGGACCAGUUAAGUACGUCUGUUCGUGAGCAAACUAUAUUCAUGUUUUGGAGAGCUUGGCACUUGAGGAAUGAUUUGAUCUUUGGUAAGGGAAUGGAAUCC
rnacentral:rRNA from 1 species